rnacentral:pre_miRNA from 1 species
GUACCAGUCACAUGGAGAGUUUAGUAAUAUACAGGUUCUAAUUCAGUAGAUGGAAAGAGGGACCUGAGAUCUGCAUUCCUAACAAGCUUCCAAGUGAUAUUGAU